AUGGUGCUGCAGGCUCAGAAAAAUGGUCUAAUUGAUGGGCUGGCUUUGGAUUUGGUGGAUAAGGGACUGUCCAUUUUGCAAUACGCGGAUGACACAGUUCUUUGCAUUGAGCAUAAUCCUGAGAAAGCUCUGAAUUUGAAGCUGUUGCUUUAUAUGUUUGAGCUCAUGUCUCGUUUGAAAAUUAAUUUCCAGAAAAGUGAAAUUUUAACUAUUGGAGGAGAUGAUAACAUCUUGAAACAGUAUGCUGAUAUAUUUGGGUGUCACAUUGGACAUUUCUCGAUGAAAUAUCUCGGGGUCCCUGUUAGUUAUUCGUCCCUGAAAGGUGUGGACUGGGACUAUCUUGAGGCCAAAUUUGUCAAAAGAUGCGAGUCUGGUCUUGGAAGCAAUGCC
rnacentral:rRNA from 1 species